rnacentral:ncRNA from 2 species
ACUUACUAAUAAGAAACACGUCGUAUAAUAUCGGGAAUAUGGCCCGAAAGUUUCUACCGAGCUACCGUAAAUGGCUUGACUACGAGGUAUUGGAUAUAAGUG